AGAAACAAAUCAAAGCUACAGCUCAUGUUUGCAUUGAGCUAAGAUUGCAGGCGCGUGAACUGUUCACACCACCAAAAAUUUAUGAUAAUUCAAGCUGGGGGUGAGAAUAGCUUGAGAAGAAAUAAGAUUGCAAAGCUAAACGAGUAAUUUCACUGCUGUAGAAAGAAGACUAGUGACAAAGAUGGAACAGUGAGAAAAGCACCACAUCAGAACUCGGCCAAAGAGAUAUGAGGAGGGGUUGGAUGAAGGC
rnacentral:lncRNA from 10 species